UUUUUAAAAUCACAUGGUUUUUGUUGCUGUUGUUAUUGAGAUGUAGGACUUCUUUAUAUAUUCUGGAUAAAAAUCUUUCAUCAAAUAUAUGAUUUGCAAAUAUUUUCUCAUGAUAAUUUUUAAAUUUUUAAAGGCCCAUGAUAGAAGCCUCUUGGAUCAAAUUAUAUUCAAAAGAAAGCGCACUGAUAUUUCAAACUGACAAAGUUAUCUUGGAAUGUGCAGCACAUAUAUGGUGGCAUUUCAGUGUUUGUCGGAGGUGGAUCAGGAGCUUUCCCAGGAUCAUUCAUACCAGGCAGAUCUAGCCCUGCUUUGACACUCUCUGGGGGUAUUUCUGGUACGGUUUAUCCUCACAUAUGUGGGAAGAGAGGCAAGCUGACUGUGCUGAGAGAACUUUUGAUCUUCCUGCCUUGGUGUUAAACUGAUUGCCUGACAUGAUAGCUCAAUUCUGUCCUGUAAGUUAGGACUUUGUCUUUUCAAAAGGGGGCACUUAACUUAGAAUUCAUUACUAUACUAAUAAAUUUAGCCACUGGCUGCCAUAAAUACCUG
rnacentral:lncRNA from 1 species